rnacentral:rRNA from 1 species
GACGAACCGUGCGAACGUUGUUCGGAAUCACUGGGCUUAAAGGGCGCGUAGGCGGGCCAUCAAGUCUGGGGUGAAAUCUUUCGGCUUAACCGGAAAAUUGCCUGGGAUACUGAUGGUCUGGAGGGUGGUAGGGGCAGGUGGAACUUCCGGUGGAGCGGUGGAAUGCGUUGAUAUCGGAAGGAACGCCGGUGGCGAAAGCGACCUGCUGGACCACUACUGACGCUGAGGCGCGAAAGCCAGGGGAGCGAACGGG